AGCCCCGCAAGCCUGAAGCCUCUUAUCUUCGUGGGCAAGCAACACAGCUACCUUCAUUAAAGAGGCCCUUUGGCAACUUCCAGCUGRCAGAGUAUACUCCAUGCUCCCCCCCCCAACCCUGCCCGAGGGGAGGCAAGAAAAACAGUUGUGCAAGCCUCCCUUCCCUCAUAUUUCAGCACCAUAAGGGUUGCCAGAGUCUGAGCCUUCCCCCUCUCCCACCCCCCUCCCUUGCAGGAGAGGCCUCCAGCAAAACUCUCUGAUCCCCCUGCUCCCAAAGGACGUCUCCAGCUGAGUGGAAAGGAGUCACCGUCAGGGACACAGACCAUGGAUGGGGCAGAGCUGAAGUUCACAGGAUGUUUCAAACUUGCUCUACUGAGUCCUUAAAGUAUUGUCACCUCUCUCCCUCUUUGCCUCUAAAACCACGCCUGGUGGCUGGCCCCAC
rnacentral:lncRNA from 1 species